rnacentral:tRNA from 3 species
GCUCUCGUGGCGGAAGUGGAAGACGCGCCAGACUAAGGAUCUGGUUUUUUGCAGGUUCGAGUCCUGCCGGGAGUA